GGCGGGCAGGGGUGGGGAGAUGGGCACCCCCAGUCCUUCCAUCCUCUUCAUUCGACUAGGGGCACCCGGAUCCCCUAAUCCUCCUUCCCCUAACACGCAGGCACUGGCAGGAUCCCUCGCCCACUCCGGUCCUGCCGCCGCGGCUCCAGAGCAAGAUGUGCCUGAGACUGAGGUUUGACCAGGCCAUUGAGGGGCAAUCCCUAAGAGAGGACAAAGAAAAGACAUGGAAGAAACCCCUGUCUGCGGCUGACCGGGAGGAGCAGAGCUGCCUGUGUCUGUGACUGCUUCCUUCCAGCCUACUAUGUGAGAAAUAAACUUCUGUUUUCUAGAUG